rnacentral:rRNA from 1 species
AGAGUUUGAUCCUGGCUCAGAACGAACGCUGGCGGCAGGCUUAACACAUGCAAGUCGAACGCUCCGCAAGGAGAGUGGCAGACGGGUGAGUAACGCGUGGGAAUCUACCCAGUUCUACGGAACAACUGAGGGAAACUUCAGCUAAUACCGUAUACGCCCUACGGGGGAAAGAUUUAUCGGAAUUGGAUGAGCCCGCGUAAGAUUAGCUAGUUGGUGAGGUAAUGGCUCACCAAGGCGACGAUCUUUAGCUGGUCUGAGAGGAUGGUCAGCCACACUGGGACUGAGACACGGCCCAGACUCCUACGGGAGGCAGCAGUGGGGAAUAUUGGACAAUGGGCGCAAGCCUGAUCCAGCCAUGCCGCGUGGAUGAUGAAGGCCCUGGGGUUGUAAAGUCCUUUUAACGGGGAAGAUAAUGACGGUACCCGUAGAAUAAGCCCCGGCUAACUUCGUGCCAGCAGCCGCGGUAAUAC